rnacentral:rRNA from 1 species
AGAGUUUGAUCAUGGCUCAGAACGUACGCUGGCGGCACGCCUAACACAUGCAAGUCGAACGAAGUAGCAAUACUUAGUGGCAGACGGGUGAGUAACAUGUAGGUAUCUGCCCUUUGGCCUGGAAUAACACGAGGAAACUUGUGCUAAUACCGGAUAAGUCUUUACGGAGAAAGCUUUAUGCACCAUUGGAUGAGCCUGCACUUGAUUAGUUUGUUGGUGGGGUAAUGGCCUACCAAGACNUNUGAUCAAUAGCUGAUUUGAGAGGAUGA